rnacentral:rRNA from 1 species
AUUGAACGCUGGCGGCAGGCUUAACACAUGCAAGUCGAGCGGAGCGAGGGUGCUUGCACCUUAGCUUAGCGGCGGACGGGUGAGUAAUGCUUAGGAAUCUGCCUAUUAGUGGGGGACAACAUUCCGAAAGGGAUGCUAAUACCGCAUACGCCCUACGGGGGAAAGCAGGGGAUCUUCGGACCUUGCGCUAAUAGAUGAGCCUAAGUCGGAUUAGCUAGUUGGUGGGGUAAGGCCUACCAAGGCGACGAUCUGUAGCGGGUCUGAGAGGAUGAUGCGCCACACUGGGACUGAGACACGGCCCAGACUCCUACGGGAGGCAGCAGUGGGGAAUAUUGGACAAUGGGCGGGAGCCUAAUCCAGCCAUGCCGCGUGUGUGAAGAAGGCCUUUUGGUUGUAAAGCACUUUAAGCGAGGAGGAGGCUACUAGUAUUAAUACUACUGGAUAGUGGACGUUACUCGCAGAAUAAGCACCGGCUAACUCUGUGCCAGCAGCCGCAGUAAUAC